UACGUAGGGUGCAAGCGUUGUCCGGAAUUUAUUGGGCGUAAAGAGCUCGUAGGCGGUUUGUUGCGUCGGCUGUGAAAUCCCGCGGCUCAAACCUCGGGCCUUGCAGUCGAUACGAGCAAACUAGAGUGUUGCAGGGGAGACUGGAAUUCCUGGUGUAGCGGUGAAAUGCGCAGAUAUCAGGAGGAACACCGGUGGCGAAGGCGGGUCUCUGGGCAACAACUGACGCUGGAGGAGCGAAAGCCGUGGGGAGCAACAGGA
rnacentral:rRNA from 1 species